rnacentral:lncRNA from 1 species
CCCCUGCCAGAGACAUUCAACAAUAUACAAGUCGAAGAUGCAGCUUUUGUGCCAGGGCACGUGAUAGAAAGACUCAAAUAUCAUGUAGUAUAUGCAGAAAACCAAUUUGUACCAUACAUCGAGAAGAAAGGAAAACAUUUUUAUGCCCGGACUCUAAAAAUCAGGAAUAAAAUCAAAUUGUAAUUACAGGUAAAAA